rnacentral:rRNA from 1 species
AUUGAACGCUGGCGGCAGGCUUAACACAUGCAAGUCGAGCGGGGUGAUGGUGCUUGCACUAUCACUUAGCGGCGGACGGGUGAGUAAUGCUUAGGAAUCUGCCUAUUAGUGGGGGACAACAUCUCGAAAGGGAUGCUAAUACCGCAUACGUCCUACGGGAGAAAGCAGGGGAUCACUUGUGACCUUGCGCUAAUAGAUGAGCCUAAGUCGGAUUAGCUAGUUGGUGGGGUAAAGGCCUACCAAGGCGACGAUCUGUAGCGGGUCUGAGAGGAUGAUCCGCCACACUGGGACUGAGACACGGCCCAGACCCCUACGGGAGGCAGCAGUGGGGAAUAUUGGACAAUGGGGGGAACCCUGAUCCAGCCAUGCCGCGUGUGUGAAGAAGGCCUUAUGGUUGUAAAGCACUUUAAGCGAGGAGGAGGCUCUUCUGGUUAAUACCCAAGAUGAGUGGACGUUACUCGCAGAAUAAGCACCGGCUAACUCUGUGCCAGCCGCCGCAGUAA